rnacentral:rRNA from 1 species
AAAAAAGGUAAGCUACUAAGAGCGAAUGGUGGAUGCCUUGACUGGUAAAGGCGAUGAAGGACGUACUAGACUGCGAUAAGCUACGGGGAGCUGUCAAGAAGCUUUGAUCCGUAGAUUUCCGAAUGGGGCAACCCAAUGUAUAGAGAUAUACAUUACCUAUAUAGGAGCGAACGAGGGGAAUUGAAACAUCUUAGUACCCUCAGGAAAAGAAAUCAAUAGAGAUUGCGUCAGUAGCGGCGAGCGAAAGCGCAAGAGGGCAAACCCAGUGCUUGCACUGGGGGUUGUAGGACUGCAAUGUGCAAGAGGUAAGUUUAGCAGAACAUUCUGGAAAGUAUAACCAUAGAGGGUGAUAGUCCCGUAUGCGAAAAACAAACCUUAGCUAGCAGUAUCCUGAGUAGGGCGGGACACGAGGAAUCCUGUCUGAAUCCGGGUCGACCACGAUCCAACCCUAAAUACUAAUACCAGAUCGAUAGUGCACAAGUACCGUGAGGGAAAGGUGAAAAGAACUGAGGUGAUCAGAGUGAAAUAGAACCUGAAACCAUUUGCUUACAAUCAUUCAGAGCCCUAUGUAGCAAUACAGGGUGAUGGACUGCCUUUUGCAUAAUGAGCCUGCGAGUUGUGGUGUCUGGCAAGGUUAAGCAAACGCGAAGCCGUAGCGAAAGCGAGUCUGAAUAGGGCGCUUAGUCAGAUGCUGCAGACCCGAAACGAAGUGAUCUAUCCAUGAGCAAGUUGAAGCUAGUGUAAGAACUAGUGGAGGACUGAACCCAUAGGCGUUGAAAAGCCCCGGGAUGACUUGUGGAUAGGGGUGAAAGGCCAAUCAAACUUCGUGAUAGCUGGUUCUCUCCGAAAUAUAUUUAGGUAUAGCGUUGUGUCGUAAUAUAAGGGGGUAGAGCACUGAAUGGGCUAGGGCAUACACCAAUGUACCAAACCCUAUCAAACUCCGAAUACCUUAUAUGUAAUCACAGCAGUCAGGCGGCGAGUGAUAAAAUCCGUCGUCAAGAGGGAAACAACCCAGACUACCAGCUAAGGUCCCUAAAUCUUACUUAAGUGGAAAACGAUGUGAAGUUACUUAAACAACCAGGAGGUUGGCUUAGAAGCAGCCAUCCUUUAAAGAAAGCGUAAUAGCUCACUGGUCUAGUGAUUUUGCGCGGAAAAUAUAACGGGGCUAAAGUAAGUACCGAAGCUGUAGACUUGCGCACAACUUAGAUUAUUUAAGUUUAGAAUAUGAGAAACUAAGUUAUAUGUUUAGUUAUAUUUUUACUGAUUUUUAUAGAGUAAAGAUAGAAAUAAAACUUAGUAAAAUCAGUAAAAAUAUUCUUAGACUAAAGUUAAGUAGUUUAAGUUGUGUGCAAGUGGUAGGAGAGCGUUCUAUUUGCGUCGAAGGUAUACCGGUAAGGAGUGCUGGAGCGAAUAGAAGUGAGCAUGCAGGCAUGAGUAGCGAUAAUUAAUGUGAGAAUCAUUAACGCCGUAAACCCAAGGUUUCCUACGCGAUGCUCGUCAUCGUAGGGUUAGUCGGGUCCUAAGUCGAGUCCGAAAGGGGUAGACGAUGGCAAAUUGGUUAAUAUUCCAAUACCAACAUUAGUGUGCGAUGGAAGGACGCUUAGGGCUAAGGGGGCUAGCGGAUGGAAGUGCUAGUCUAAGGUCGUAGGAGGUUAUACAGGCAAAUCCGUAUAACAAUACUCCGAGAACUGAAAGGCUUUUUGAAGUCUUCGGAUGGAUAGAAGAACCCCUGAUGCCGUCGAGCCAAGAAAAGUUUCUAAGUUUAGCUAAUGUUGCCCGUACCGUAAACCGACACAGGUGGGUGGGAUGAGUAUUCUAAGGCGCGUGGAAGAACUCUCUUUAAGGAACUCUGCAAAAUAGCACCGUAUCUUCGGUAUAAGGUGUGGUUCGCUUCGUAUUAGGAUUUACUCCGAAAGCGAAGAAACUUACAACAAAGAGUCCCUCCCGACUGUUUACCAAAAACACAGCACUCUGCUAACUCGUAAGAGGAUGUAUAGGGUGUGACGCCUGCCCGGUGCUCGAAGGUUAAUUGAUGGGGUUAGCAUUAGCGAAGCUCUUGAUCGAAGCCCGAGUAAACGGCGGCCGUAACUAUAACGGUCCUAAGGUAGCGAAAUUCCUUGUCGGUUAAAUACCGACCUGCAUGAAUGGCGUAACGAGAUGGGAGCUGUCUCAAAGAGGGAUCCAGUGAAAUUGUAGUGGAGGUGAAAAUUCCUCCUACCCGCGGCAAGACGGAAAGACCCCGUGGACCUU